GCGUGCUGGCUUCACAAGCUCCAGGAAGAACUUGACUGCGUUCACGUAGAGAACUAUGAAUAGGGGGAGUGGGGGGACUGACCUACAAUUAGUUCUCUGAGAAGUUAACGGUGCGGGGCAUUGGCCUUAAAAGCCUGCUGGGCCUCUGGCUGCCCCCUACAUAGCAUUACCCUGGCAUUAAACUUUAUCAUAAGCAGGCACCAAAGUUUGCUGCGGCACCGUACGGAUCAGCAGUGUCAUCAUGAUGUGCAGUUUACGCUCCUUCUUUGCCAAGGGGAAAUUGGCAUCAACAGCUGCUUGUGCCUGGCGGGAUCCGGCAGGUUUGGCUCAGAUGCGAGCUACGUAUGCAACAGGGCAACGUCAGGAAGACACAACUUUUUAUGAAUUUCGCACUUACACUGUAAAACCUGCAAUGAUGAGUGAUUUCAUGAAACUCACCAGUGAAAACAUUCACAUGCGCACAGCCCACUCAGAGUUGGUCGGCUAUUGGACGCUAGAGUUUGGAGGCCUCAAUAAAGUCUUCCAUAUCUGGAAAUAUGACAGCUUUGCCCAAAGAGCAGCAGUUAGAGCAAAGCUUGCCCAAGACAGAGACUGGCUGGACAAAUAUUUAUUAAAAAUGUUACCCAUGCUGGACAAACAGGAUAAUGAAGUAACUUACUUGGUGCCUUGGUGCAAAGUGCAGAAGCCAGAAACAGAAGGGGUCUAUGAGUUGGUCAGCUUUCAGUUCAAGCCUGGAGGGCCAGCAGUUUGGGGUCAUGCCUUCAGAGCAGCAAUUUCGACUCAUGUUAACACUGGCUACACUAAGCUUAUUGGUGUGUUCAACACAGAGUAUGGAUUACUUAACCAAGUGCAUGUGCUAUGGUGGAAUGAAAAUGCUGACAAUCGGGCAGCUGGCAGACACAGGGCACAUGAAGAUGCUAGAGUGGUAGCAGCAGAAACAGAGUCCAGCUCCACAUUGUAGGUACCUUCAUUCUCACCUCCUGUCAGGCGAUCCCUGCAGUGUCCACUAAAUUGGACAAGUAUUUGGGACUACUAACCUUAGUAGAGCAAGUUGGAGUCAGAGAGAGUUCAAGAUUCCUGGAGUCCCAGAGGAACCUGUUGAUGCUCCCAACCAAGUUCUCACCCAUGAAAUAAUAUCCUGUAAUUCUCCUGCAGAUCCUUGGGUGUCCGCAUUAUUUAGAACUUUUUGCCAUGAACGGAUCACAAGAUGCUAACAUUUGCAUAUAUAGGCUAUAUGUGAAUAUUGGUUAUUUCUGAAAUAUUUGGAUCUUAUUUCAAAUAAAGACCUAAAAAUCU